rnacentral:rRNA from 1 species
CUACGGGAGGCUCCAGUGAGGAAUAUUGCACAAUGGGGGAAACCCUGAUGCAGCAACGCCGCGUGGAGGAUGACGCAUUUCGGUGUGUAAACUCCUUUUAUAUGUCAAGAAAAUGACGGUAGCAUAUGAAUAAGCACCGGCUAACUCCGUGCCAGCAGCCGCGGUAAUACGGAGGGUGCAAGCGUUACUCGGAAUCACUGGGCGUAAAGGACGCGUAGGCUGUUUGGCAAGUCAGAUGUGAAAUCCUAUGGCUCAACCAUAGAACUGCAUUUGAAACUGCCAGACUAGAGUAUGGGAGGGGGAGAUGGAAUUAGUGGUGUAGGGGUAAAAUCCGUAGAUAUCACUAGGAAUACCUAAAGCGAAGGCGAUCUCCUGGAACAUUACUGACGCUAAGGCGUGAAAGCGUGGGGAGCAAACAGGAUUAGAUACCCGGGUAGUC